ACCUAUAGGCGCCUCUAAAAUGUCUCUUCCACUUCUGGGAAGGUUCCCGCCCUCCAGACCUUUGCAACCUCGUCCACCAAUGUCAAUGAAGAGGACUUUCAGUACUGAACAUUCAGGCAAACACCUCGAUCUCCUGGAAAAGAACAGCACUGAAUUCUCC